UCUUGGCUGAGAACGUUUACUAACAAAGAAUAACAGAGUAAAUAACAUCAGAUAUGUAAAAAGAAAAAUGUAGAAAUAGAAAGAGAAGGCAAGGCUGAAAGUUGUUGAACUUGCUGGAGACACCAUCAUGGCUAAAAGGCUGCCUUGACAAUUGCAUUGCGUAUCGUACAGGAACAUCGAUCGUGUGUCUGUAAGAGGACUGAUGGCAGCACCAUUUUGCAUAUCCGCCGGCUCCUGUCCCUCGCCCGAUCGAACCCCGGUCCCAUCUUCCUGUCAACAUCUUGUGCCAUCCAAGUGCGGCUGUGGACCGCUGUUCAAGGAGGUGACAGUGUGGAUGAGGAGACUGUGGUGCUGGGGGCACGGGCUCUCACUCUGGCCUGUGAUAAACUUGAGCUCGAGAAAAUUAUAUGUGCAAAUGCGCAUGUGAUCGGAUUAUUGAAAUGAAGAAAAAAUUGCAGCUACAGCAGAAACAGAACACGGGAAAAAAUCAGAACAAGAACAACAAAAACGAGCACUAGAACAACAACUGCAAAACCAAGAAAGCACAGAGGAACCAGAAUAAUAACAAGAAAAACCAUCACACCAAGAAAGGAAGAACGAUAGCAAGGACAUCUAGGACACGAACAACAAGAAAAAUAAACAGAAAAAAAUAAUGACAAGACAACAAGAAAACAAAAAACAACAAGGAACAGAAAAAAAAGAACAAGAAGCAGACGAAGAUGAAGUGUGCUGUGUGACGACCAUGAAUUUUUAUUUCGAUUGAAAAAAAAAAAACGAUAUUACUGGAAUUAACGGUUGUGGGAAAGGAGAACAGCUGCUGUAGCUGUACAAUAAGAGCUCUGAGAGGUCCUCUGUUCUGCUUAUUUGUCAAAACAAUAACUUCAAGCGCCAACAGCUGUUGUAGCCUUAUAGUCAGAGCAUUGAGAUAAUGUUUCUGUUGUGUUAACUUCACGCGCGCACAGCAUGCAGGUCGGUGUCGAGUGGCUAGCAAACUCUCAUUUAUUCCAUCAGGGGUAGGGGUAGGCGGGUGGAAGGGGAAGACGUCGCUCUUUCCUGCCACCUGGAAUCGUUUUGGCAUUUUCCCCAGACACAUUUGAGUGAUGGGACAGUUCCAUAUCCACUGAAUGCUCGCGCUGCCAGUUCAGAAGCUAGAGGGGUGAUGGAAGAGGGUACCAGAAAGAGGAGCUGACGCCGGGUAUGAGCAACAGAUGAAGCCCUGUCAGUGUGAAAACAAUCGUUUGAACAGACACGCGAAGACUGUGGGUUAUUUUUUUUUCUUUGAUGACUCACGGCAGCACUGGAGUCGCUUCACGAGUGUGUGAACCUAAGGGUCCUGGCCAGGAUGUUGGGACGCUCCGGGCCUCGCACUGCCAGCACAAUCCGCCAACAAUACUCAGCAAACAUAAUGUGAGUCUACAAGGGAUCGAACCAUAGCAGCAAAUCUUUUUCAUUGGACUUGUGGCAUGGUCAACAAACUCGGUGACAUCAGCUUUAUCGCCCUCGCGCGAGUCCGCUCAUGACGUGGCCCUGAAGUUAAGGGACAACGAUCUUCCCCUACCGCUAAAUUGUCGCUGAAGACAGAAUGAUGACGACGACGAAAUGAUGAUAAACUUGAUGAUGCAUCAGCACGUGGGGAGUCAGGUUUGACGGACGGACAGACGACCGCCUGACUGAAAAGACCAAGAGGAUCGUCUUGAGAGGGGAAAACAUGAAGGUGUCAAAGUUGGCAGCAAAGUACAAGUCUUUUCUUGUGUGUCUUGUCAUGCUGCUUCAGUCUUCCAAUGCUGUUGCAGAAGAGGGCUCGGGCAUUACUCAGGAUGAUUUAAUGGAGUUCUUAACGGACGACGUAGACGAUGUCAUCAUCAAAUGCUACGUCUGCCCUAACAGCAGCGCUCAGUCCUGCGAGAUGGAGUCACUCAGACAGAAUCCCGAUGACUACUUAAGUCAAUGCAGCGGCCAUUGCAUGAAUAUAUCUACAGAGAAUAACACUGUAUUUGCUUGCACAGAGGACGUGCCUGUCAAGAAUUCCAGAUGUUUUACAAAUGGUGGGAUUGCAAUAUGUACUUGUCCAUUUGAUCUUUGCAAUGGGCCUGCACUUCCAGUAAACAGACAGUUGACAAGUGUAUCAACCCAAAGGACUAUUGACAGUGUCAGCAUCUCUUUACCCACACCAGCAAAGGAUGUGUAUGACAGAUCUGUCAAAGACCACUCCCCUCACCUGGUUGUGGAUUUUCAAAUUAUCCUGCUUCUUAUAUGGCUGAGCAGCGUCUUUCAGAUAAUUAUUACAUAGCAAAAUUGGGGCGAUUAUUUCAUUAUGUAUGAUGGUAUUAGCAAAUUGCUUGUGGGAAAUAAUCUCUUCUCCAUAGUGAUAAGCUUCCAUAAAAAAGUUAUUUCCAUUAUUCCUUGCAUUCAUGACAGUAUGUUAUAUACUGUGCUUAUUUUUAUACAGUGGCUUUUUAGCUGGAAGCUUAGGUGUUUGUAAGUGUAAAUCUGUGCAUGUGUGUGUAUGCAUGCCCAUGUGUGCCUGUGCAGUCUGCAGUCAUGUGUUAUUUCAUGCAAUUAUAAAUACUGCAGAUAAAGUCAUGUGACUUUAGAUAUCCUGUUUGCCAUGCAGUGUGAUACCUUAAUAAAACACAAUCAAGUAUUAAAAGUCACAAAAUAAAGUUUGAUUUAAUUCAAACACAUGUAUUCUUCAGGUCAAAAAUUGGCAUUCUUGAAUGGGAUGAAGCAUAUGUUUAACACAAUAGACCAGAUCAUGACUAUACUUUGUUAAUCACAACCUUUGUUUUAUCUGUAACACAAUGGCACUCAGAAUUAUACAGUAAAUAGCCCAUGUCCACUGAGGUAACUUUUCUACAGACAAUGCCAGUAGGAGCAUGAGCAAGACAAGUUGCAUUCACAAAUUUCAUUUGUUUUAAAGUAUCUGCUAACUAGUCCACUGAUAAAACAAUUUAUACAAACGUAAGAUCAAUAGUUAGGCUAAAAAAUUACAAAUUAACUAUAUUGAUGGCACAGUUUAAUUUUUUCCUUUUAAAGCAGCGACCCUUUCAUCUUUGAUAGGGGUGGUUGGUGGUGAAUGUGGUGUCACCAUAGCAGUGAGAAUCAGGGGUUGUGGGUAUCUCACUCUGACAUACUUCUCUCUGAAUGUGACAUGUUUGGUAUCGUGUGUGUAAGAGAGAACAAAAAAAGACUGAGUGAGCAUUAGUAAGAUGUAUACCUUGAUUCCACCUUCGUUGGUGGGAUAAGGUGCUCUAUAAAUGAACUAUUGUGAUUAAAAAGUACUUUGGAAGGAACUUUAAAAUUAAAGUAUGGCCAGAGGAGACAACCGAGUAACAGCCUGACCCCUCAUUGUCCAGCGGAAGGCCCGGUCCCGCCUGAGGCGACCAACGCCCCUUACGCGUACUUUUAGACCCUUUCUACACCUCCAAGGACACCGGGAGAAAGAAAUGAAGUAUGGGGCAGGGGCAGAGACGUCACUUUUCCGGGUGGUGUGUUAGAGAACGGCCGACGGAGGUCCGUCUGGUGUGAGACGUUAAAAAGGUCCGAGGGACUUGAAAUAUUAUUGUGUCUGGAUAUAAGGAAUCUAUUGAUGAACUGUAACGAAUGGUCGUACGACCAGUGGAACUUAUUAGUGGAAUUAUGAACUUUGGCUUGUGAGGAGAAAAAGAGCCAGAAAGCUAAGUUUUAAGAUUAGUUUGGAAAGAUACUUUAACUAUUCCUUUAUAUCUAUAUAUGUAUGCACUUUUUGUUUAAUUAUAUUCUUUUGAUUCAUACUGAAGUUUAAGAAAUGUGUUGUAAUUAAGUGUGUGGGCGCAUGCUGGAUAAGUGCAUGCUAGAAAUAGUUAGCCAUUGCACGCAGGGCCCGCAUUGCAGUCCAUUACAAUGCUAUGUGUGCCAAAUGUGAAAAGGGUUUCUUGUCAUCAAGAUAUAGCGAGAAAUCAGACAAUGAAAUAAAACUACAGUGUGACUCAAUCUAGUCAGAGUGCUAGGACUGGGCGUGUGUGUGGAUGGUAGGGUGCGAAUGAUGGACGUUCUCUAAAUGGAACGUGAAAAAUGACGUAUAGUGACGUCAAACAAAAUAGUGAGGUAAGCGGGAGAGACGUUAGGAUGGAGAUGGAAGCAGAAGGACGUUAGAGGGCAUUUUUAGAAGAAGAAGGACGCUGGAGAAUAGAGAGAAGAACAGGACGUUAGAAAGUAGAUAGAAGAGGAAGAACGUUAGCGAGUGGAAGAAGAAGAAGGUUAGAGAGCGGAUAGGGAGAGGUGAACGCAUUUGCCAAGACAUUUGCUUCGCUAGUCAGAGAUCGAAUGAGGUAGUAUGAACGAAGGAACUACUGCCAAGACAGUAAGUUUGAAAAGCGAGUAGAAG
rnacentral:misc_RNA from 1 species